rnacentral:lncRNA from 1 species
AUAGCAUCGACUUAAAUAGAUAUAUAUAGUCCGGUUAUUAUAUUCUUAUGAGUAUAUGUCUUUCUGUAUUCAUAAAUUUUCGGCCAUUAGAUCUACCUCUUUGACAAUUUUCAUCCGUUAGAUCAUACUAUUCAAUCAGCAAAUCACUUAAUUCUAGAAAAACACUAUCAUCCUAAUCGGAAAUCACUAUUAUACUAAUCGAAGACCACUAUCAUUCUAACCGCACAUUCCUUCAUCCAACGACUGAAAAAUUAUGAGUACAAAAGAGACUAUACUCAUAAGAGUAUAGUAGCCAGACUCAUCCUUUUACAUAGGUCUUUUUUAUGAUGUAAAUUAUUUUUAAGCGCUUAGAUCUUCGUUUUGAAACUUCUAUGAUAGGUCAAUUUUAGUUUGUGUAAUAAGUUUGUAACUUAAAAGUAUGUAGUUGAAUUCUUACUCAAAGUAAUUAAUAAUAUCAUGAUAAUUCAAGCACUAUAAUAUGCAUAUGUCGUUAAAAGCACAACGGACCUAGGGCUUGAUAGUUGAAUCUAAGAUCCUAAAUUUUAAGCCUAAUUGUUUGUUUGGGGCAAUUUCACCACUACCCCUCUCAAAUAUGAAAAUAUCAUAAAUACCCCUACAAAAUUGAAAAUAUCAUAUAUACCCCUUCAAAUGCAAAAAUUUUUCACAAUUACCCUUCCAUCUAACGACUGUUACUUAAACUAUGGUUGAAGUUGGGUUAAAUAAAAGUUGAGUUACAAAAUGACUAAUUUAGCCCUAAAAAGGUUAGGUAUUAUUUUGAUAGCAAAUAAUGAAAUAAUUAAGGGGCAAUUUCAUAAGUACCCUUCUAAAUUUUAAAAAUAAUAUCUCUAGCACUAAUUAUUAGUGGGUAAAAAAUAAAGAAACCCCUCACUUGUAAAUCAUUUUGAACUAGAACCCUUUAAGUUUUAUUUUUUAACACUAAAAGAGACCUUGAACUAUCAGUUUUUUUUUAUUUUGACUUUACUUAGUUAAAAGUUUUUUAAUUGAGAUCCCUCGCAUGAAUUUGAUAAAAUUUUUAAUUUUGUUGGAAAAAAACACUCAAUUGCUAAAAUUUUUUAAAAAAAACACUUAGGUUGAGAGGGUAUAUAUAUAUAAAGAGUUUUGUUAUAAUACUAUCGGUAGUACAACUUGGGUUACUAUGAUUUGUUUUCGAUGAUAGGAUUUCCAAAUUGACAAUUAGCACCGUUAAAUAUGAUAUAAACCAUUUAAACUAUCUGAAAAUCAAAUUUCACGCUUUUCUGAGUUACGAUCAUGUCGAAGUGAACUAUAGAUGAGAGGGUUUUCAUAAAAUUUUACUUUAUUGUUAACAAUAAAUUUUCAAUUAAAAAAAUUUUGUUUAAGCAGAUCAUAUAAGUAAUACUCUAAUAUAGAGAAUUUUGAUAUCAAAAUAUUUUUAGCAUGAGAUAUGUGAGUUAUUUAAAUAAAAUUUUUAAAAAUAAAUCUUUAAAUAGUUAAUGUUGAAUUCUACUAUAGACAAAUUGCAUUAUAACUAUGUAUAAUUUAAAAGCGAAAAAUCAUAAUGAGAUUUAACUAUCACACUUAAUAGACUAUGGAUCUUUAAUUGUAAUAUUUUAGAAAUAAUGUUAAAUUAUUAUGUGAUUCAAAUGUUAAAAAUUGAUCAUAUAAUUAAUCUUAAAUAUUAAAUGUUUAAAUUGUUGCUAGGGGUAAAAUUGGUAUUUAUAAAAUAUUGGACGACCAUUUGACUGAAAGUUAAGCUAAAGGGUAUCUGUGAAUAUUUUUGGGUUUUAGAGGGGUAUUGAUGAUAUUUUUCAGUUUAGAGGGUUAUCCAUGAAAUUAUGAUUUUUCAUAGGGGUAUUGAUGAAAUUAUUCCUUGUUUUAUAUUUCUAGUUUAUUUAUAAAAAGAACAAACAAAAUGAAUAGAUUGUUAUCUUUCUCUUUCACCCAAAAAAAAAAAAAAAACAUACAAAUUUUUCUAGUCAAUCCAUUAUUCGACUUAUAAUCUAAUUUCAGCAUAUGAGAUUUAUUAACUAUAUUGUUAAAUAAAAAAUAUAAAAUACCGUUUUUCUAUUAGCUUAAGUUAGCUUUCAGAAAUUAAUGAUUGUUUCGUAUUUUUUAACAUUGUAUUAUACAGAAGGUUAUGAGUUCGCAUCAUGAAUUUAUCAAAAAAAUUUCGAGCCCAGACUCAAAAGGGAAUGUUAAAUAAACAUAUAAAAAAACCGUUCAAUAUUAGCUUAAAUUUUUUAAGAACAAAGUUUCGUAUUAUUUAACAUAUAGAAAUGUGUCCGGCUACUAUACUCUUACGAGUAUUGUCUAUUUUGUGUUUAUAAUUUUUCGACCGUUAGAUCUACUCCUUUGACCAUUUUCAUCUGUUAGAUCAUGUAUUAUUCAACCAAUCAACCACUCAACCCUAGGGGACCACUAACAUCCUAACCGCAUAUCCUUUCAUCCAAGGAUUGAAAACGUAUGAGAAAGGAUUUACACUUAUAAAAGUAUAAUAGCCCUAGCGGUAAAAAAGAUAUAUAUUUGUUGAUACCUU